UACGGAGGGCGCAAGCGUUGCUCGGAAUCACUGGGCGUAAAGAGCGUGUAGGCGGUUUCGUAUGUCUGGCGUGAAAGCCCCGGGCUCACCCCGGGAAGUGUGCUGGAAACUGCGAGACUAGAGUCCCGGAGAGGAAGGUGGAAUUCCAGGUGUAGCGGUGAAAUGCGUAGAUAUUUGGAAGAACACCGGUGGCGAAGGCGGCCUUCUGGACGGUGACUGACGCUGAGACGCGAAAGCGUGGGGAGCAAACAGG
rnacentral:rRNA from 1 species